rnacentral:rRNA from 1 species
AUUGAACGCUGGCGGCAUGCUUUACACAUGCAAGUCGAACGGCAGCGGGUCCUUCGGGAUGCCGGCGAGUGGCGAACGGGUGAGUAAUGCAUCGGAACGUACCCAGACGUGGGGGAUAACUACGCGAAAGCGUAGCUAAUACCGCAUACGCCCUGAGGGGGAAAGCGGGGAGUCUUCGGACCUCGCGCGAUUGGAGCGGCCGAUGUCGGAUUAGCUAGUUGGUGGGGUAAAGGCCUACCAAGGCGACGAUCCGUAGCUGGUCUGAGAGGAUGAUCAGCCACACUGGGACUGAGACACGGCCCAGACUCCUACGGGAGGCAGCAGUGGGGAAUUUUUGGACAAUGGGCGGCAAGACCUGAUCCAGCCAUGCCGCGUGCGGG